GACAGAGGGUGCAAACGUUGCUCGGAAUUACUGGGCGUAAAGCGUGCGUAGGUGGUUUGUUAAGUCUGUUGUGAAAGCCCCGGGCUCAACCUGGGAAUGGCAAUGGAUACUGGCAGGCUAGAGUGCGGUAGAGGGUAGUGGAAUUCCCGGUGUAGCGGUGAAAUGCGUAGAGAUCGGGAGGAACACCAGUGGCGAAGGCGGCUACCUGGACCAGCACUGACACUGAGGCACGAAAGCGUGGGGAGCAAACAGG
rnacentral:rRNA from 1 species